rnacentral:rRNA from 1 species
UACAGAGGGUGCAAGCGUUGUUCGGAAUUACUGGGCGUAAAGCGCGCGCAGGCGGAUCCUGCAAGUCCGGAGUGAAAUCUCACUGCUCAACGGUGAGGCUGCUUUGGAUAUUGCGGAUCUGGAGACCGGUAGAGGCUGGUAGAAUUGCAGGUGUAGCGGUGGAAUGCGUAGAGAUCUGCAAGAAUACCCGUGGCGAAGGCGGCCAGCUGGGCCGGUUCUGACGCUGAGGCGCGAAAGCGUGGGGAGCAAACAGG